CCCUCCAUGCAAUCAUGAUGUAGAAUAAAAUCUUUAAAGACAACUGAUAUUUUAGAACCAGGAGACAGUUUUCUUUGUGUUUUUGUUCUCUUUAGACCUCUCAGUGCUCCAAGAACCCCAUCAAUAAGAAGAAUCAGAUCAGGACGAGGAACCGGAUUGGGAGCAGCCCCGAGAUGUGAAUCCACAUAAUGGAAGAGAGAUGCUGAAAGAAUUGUUAAUAUAGUGACAUUUGUGAGGGUUGAAAAAACUGGAGGUGACCAGUCCAUUGCAGAGCUACACGAAAAAACAGACGACCGUUCACACUCACACAGGUGGCUCAUUUAGAAUCACAGAUUAACCUUCAAUGCAUGUGUUUGAUUGCAGGAAGAAGUCUUUUUUUCACUUCAAAAUCUAAGAGGGUUAAUAAAGUGAGAAAAUUUUAUCUGCUAA